rnacentral:rRNA from 1 species
AACGAACGCUGGCGGCAUGGCUAAGACAUGCAAGUCGUACGGAACUCGUAGCAAUACGAGUUUAGUGGCGGAAGGGUGAGUAAUAAAUGGGUAACGUACCUUGAACUUGGGAACAACAGUUCGAAAGGACUGCUAAUGCCCAAUGAAGUCGCUGAAUCGCAUGGUUCGACGACCAAAGCCGGGGAUCGCAAGACCUGGCGGUUUUUUGAGCGGCCCA